rnacentral:tRNA from 1 species
ACAUUUUUAGUUCAAUUGGAUAGAACAUUAAUUUUCUAAAUUAACAAUACAGGUUCAAGUCCUAUAAAAUGUG